rnacentral:rRNA from 1 species
AGUGAACGCCGGCGGUAGGCCUAACACAUGCAAGUCGAACGGCAGCACAGUAAGAGCUUGCUCUUACGGGUGGCGAGUGGCGGACGGGUGAGGAAUACAUCGGAAUCUACUUUUUCGUGGGGGAUAACGUAGGGAAACUUACGCUAAUACCGCAUACGACCUACGGGUGAAAGCAGGGGAUCUUCGGACCUUGCGCGAUUGAAUGAGCCGAUGUCGGAUUAGCUAGUUGGCGGGGUAAAGGCCCACCAAGGCGACGAUCCGUAGCUGGUCUGAGGGGAUGAUCAGCCACACUGGAACUGAGACACGGUCCAGACUCCUACGGGAGGCAGCAGUGGGGAAUAUUGGACAAAGGGCGCAAGCCUGAUCCAGCCAUACCGCGUGGGUGAAGAAGGCCUUCGGGUUGUAAAGCCCUUUUGUUGGGAAAGAAAAGCAGCAGGUUAAUACCCCGCUGUUCUGACGGUACCCAAAGAAUAAGCACCGGCUAACUUCGUG